UUGCUCGAAGAACAAUGGCGGCUGUAGUCAUGCGUGUGUGGAUGAAGUCUGGGGAGCUCUGUGUGCCUGUCCUGAUGGAUAUAAGCUCUCUGCCGAUGGCGCAGUCUGUGAAGAUUUCGAUGAAUGUGCCCAACAGUUUGCUCCUUGUUUGCAUCACUGCACUAAUACCAUUGGAUCAUUCUAUUGCCACUGCAGAGAUGGCUUCAAACUGAAUGGAAACUCCAGAUGUGUAGCCUCAGGUAAUGCUGUCAGACUACUGACGUUACAGAGGAAAUCUAUCGGGCUGCUGAAUGUUGAGUCUCAACAGUUUGAAGUUAUCGAGACUCCAGUGCUUGACUUAG